rnacentral:rRNA from 1 species
GACGAACGCUGGCGGCGUGCCUAAUACAUGCAAGUAGAACGCUGAAGGAGGAGCUUGCUCUUUCCGGAUGAGUUGCGAACGGGUGAGUAACGCGUAGGUAACCUGCCUGGUAGCGGGGGAUAACUAUUGGAAACGAUAGCUAAUACCGCAUAAUAGCAGUUAUUGCAUGAUAACUGUUUGAAAGGUGCAAAUGCACCACUACCAGAUGGACCUGCGUUGUAUUAGCUAGUUGGUGAGGUAACGGCUCACCAAGGCGACGAUACAUAGCCGACCUGAGAGGGUGAUCGGCCACACUGGGACUGAGACACGGCCCAGACUCCUACGGGAGGCAGCAGUAGGGAAUCUUCGGCAAUGGACGGAAGUCUGACCGAGCAACGCCGCGUGAGUGAAGAAGGUUUUCGGAUCGUAAAGCUCUGUUGUAAGAGAAGAACGAGUGUGAGAGUAGAAAGUUCACACUGUGACG